rnacentral:lncRNA from 1 species
UUUUUGUUGCUGCUUUUAAUAUUCUCUCUUUAUCUUUAAUUUUUGCCAUUUUAAUUACAUCCUAAUGUGUUCCUCUUUGGAUUAAUACAUUUUGGAACUCUCUGCACUUCUUUCAUUGGGAUAUCUAUUACAUUUCUAGGUUUUCUAGGAUGUUUUCAGCCAUUAUAUCUUCAAAUAUGUUCUCUGCCCCUUUCUCUCACUCUAUUCUCCUUCUGCAGGUAUUAGUAUGCUUGAUGUUGUCCCAGUAGUCUCUUAAACUGUCCUCAUUUCUUCCAUUCUUUUUUUUUUCUGUUCAGCAGCAUUGAUUUCCAUUUCUCUGUCUUCCAGCUCAUUGAUCUGUUCCUCUAUCAUUUAGUCUGCUGUUGAUUCCUUCUAGUGUAUUUUUCAUUUCAUUUUUUGUAUUCAUCUCUGUGUUUGUUUGAUCUUUGUAUUUUCCAGCUGUUAAAAAAUUAAGACUUCUUGCUCUGUGUAUUUGUUCUUUUCCUGAUUAUUAUUCCAUAAUUAUUUUUAUGAUCAUUACUCUGAACACUUUCUUAGGCAGAUUACCUUUCUCCACAUCACUUUAAUUCUUCUGGAGUUUUAUCAUGUUUCUUCAUUUGGAAUAUGUUCAUCUGUUGCCUAAUUUUGCCUAACUUGCUGUUUUUAUUUCUAUAUAUUUGGUAGUUUGGUUAUGUUUCCAGACCUUCUAGAAGUGGCCUUUUGUAGGAGAUGCCCUAUGCAUCCCAGCAGAGCACUCCCCUCUGGUCACCAAAGCUAUAUGCUCUAGGAGUGCCCCUGUGUGGGCUGCAUGAGUUCUGUUGGAGCAGGCUGACUACUGUGGGUGGUCUGGUAGGCUUGGUUGGCCCCUGGUCUGCUUGGUUUCCAGGCCCUACCUUGUGCAGAGGCUGACGGCCACUACUUAACAGGGCAGUGUCACAAAGCAGCUGACUGUGGAAGCCUGGGGGGUCCCAGGGCUAGUAUGGUAUCAUUGUUGGGUAGAGUAGGGGUCUAGGUAGGGGUCUAGUUCCUGCCCACUGGAGGGUAAAGCAAGCCCCUGGGGUCUGGUUGCAGUGCCCAAGGAUUCCAGAACUUAUGUUGGACUGCUGGUGUGUGGGGCCAGUUCCUAAUAUGGCUGGCUGCAUGGUCCAGGGUGUCCUGAAGUUUGUGUUGACCUGCUAGUCGGUGGGGCCAGGACCUAUCUGUUCCCAGGAUUGGUGCUAGCCUGCUGGUGGGUGGGCUGGGUCUGCAGACUGUGGGUCUGUGUUUGUCCUGGACUGAUGUCUGCCCAUUGAUGGAUGAGGGUUUUGGUUGUUAUUGUUUUGUUGGGUUUAGUGUUUUUGGUUUUUUUGUUUGUUGGUAGAUUCUUUAUAAUUCUCUACGUACAAGAUCACAUUAUCUGCAAAUACAGAUGGGUUUACUUUUUGCUUUCCUAUCUGAAAACCUCUUAAUUAUUAUUAUUUUUUAAACCAAUUGCCCUGGCUAGAUCCCCUAGUAUUGAAUAGAAGUGCCAAGGAUAGAUAUACUUGUCUUACUCUUUUUUUUUUUUAGGGCCACACACAUGGCACAUGGAAGUUCCCAGGAUAGGAGUCAAAUCAGAGCUACAUCUGCCGGCCUGCACCACAGCCACAGCAACAUGUGGUCCUAGUCAAGUCUGCAACCUACACCACAGUUCAUGACAACACCAGAUCCCUGACCCACUGAGCAAGGCCAGGGAUUGAACCUGCAUCCUUAUGGAUACUAGUCAGAUUAGUUUUCACUGAGCCACAACAGGAACUCCCCUUAUCUUAUUCCUGAUCUUGGUGGAAACCUUUCAAUCUUUCAUCAUUAAGAAUGAUGUUAGAUAGGGGUUUUUCAUAGAUACUCUUAUCAGGUUGAGGAAGUUCCAUCUGUCCCUAGUUUAUUGGAUGUCUUUACCAGGAAAGGAUAUUGUAUUUUUUAAAUUGUUUAUUCUCUAUCUUUUGUUUUAAUCUUGUGGUUGUUUCCCUUUAUUCUGUUAAUAUGGUGUAUUCCAUUAAUUGAUUUUCAAAUAUUAAGUCAACCUUGCAUUCCUGGAAUAAAUUGACAAUGUGGCCAGUGGCUGUCUGUAUCCAAGGUUUCCAUAUCCACAGAAUCAACCAACUGCAGAUAGAGUUUGCCCUUUUUGUUUUUCUUUUUAUGGCUGCACCUGCUCUUAUGGAAGUUCCUGGGAUAGGGCUUGAAUGGGAGCUGCAGCUGCUGGCCUAUGCACAGCCAUGGCAACAGUGGAUCCGAGCCACAUCUGUGACUUAUGCUGCAGAUCCUUAACCCACUGAGUGAGGCCAGGGAUCAAACUCUCAAGGAUGCUAUGUUGGAUUCUUGACCCACUUGAGCCACAAUGGGAACUCCUCAAAUUUGCCAUUGUAUAUAAAGGAUUUUAGCAUCCAUGGAUUUUGGCAUCCAUGGGAUGGAGGGACAUGAGUUCUGGAAUCAAUGUCCUACAGAUGCUGAGGAACAGCUGUAUAAUGCUCUUCAUAUGUUGCUGCUUUGGGUUUGCUAGUAUUUUCUUCAGGAUUUUUCAGUUGUGAUUUUCUCUUUUCUAUAGCUUCUUCCUCCUUUUUUAUUUAGAGAAGAUCUUUCAAUAGCUUCUUCCUUUUCUAUUUAGAGAAGAUCUUUCAAUAUUUCUUUUAGGACAGGAAUUCCCUUCAUGGCACAGCAGAAACGAAUCCAACUAGGAACCAUGAGGUUUCAGGUUUGAUCCCUCACCUUGCUCAGUGGGUUAAGGAUCCAGCAUUGCUGUGAGCUGUGGUGUAGGUCAUAGAUGAGGCUCGGAUCUGGCAUUGCUGUGGCCCUGGCAUAGGUGGGCGGCAACAGCUCCAAUUAGACCCCUAGCCUGGGAACCUCCAUGUGCCAUGGGUGCAGCCCUUAAAAAAAAAGACAGACAAAAAAAAAUUUAUUUUAGGAUAGAUUUAGUAUUGCUGUAUUCUUUUAGUAUUUGCUUGUCUGAGUAAUUCUCUCUCUUUCUAUUCAAAGUGAUAACCUUGCUAAGUAGAGUAUUCUAGGUUGUAGAUUUUUCUCUUUCAGGAAUUUGAAUAUAUCUUGCCUUCUGAACUGCAGUGUUUCUGUAGAGAAAGCAGCCAGUAGCCUUAUGCAUAUUCCCUUGUAAUUAACUCUUUGUUUUUCUCUUGCUGCUUUUAGAAUGCUCUCUUUAUCAUUAAUUUUUACCAUUUAAAUUAUAACAUGUCUUGGUGAAAGUCUGUUAGGGUUCAUCUUGUUUGGGACUUUUUGUGCUUCCUAUACUUGGAUAUCUGUUUCCUUCUUUAGGUUUGGGAAGUUUUCAGCUAUAAUUUCUUCAAAUUCUUUUUAGACUCCUUUUAUCUUCUUCUUCUGGAAUCUAUUAUAUAUACAUAGAUUCGCAUGCUUUAUAUUAUACCAUAGGUCUCUUAUUUUUAUUUUUUCCACUUGGCUUUCUUCUUGCUCUACUAAUUGGGUGACUUCCAUUAUUGUAUUUUCAAGGUCAUGUAUUUGUUCUUUUGCAUUAUUCAUUUUGCUGUUCAUUGCCCUUCCCUCAGCUUUUGUUUCAGCAAAUGAAUUUUCUAAUUUUUCUUGGUUCCUCUUUAUAGUUUCUAAUUCCUUUUUACAAUAAUGCACAUUUCUGUCUAUAGCCUUUAAUUCCUUCAGUACUUUCAUUAUCUCCUUUUUGAACUUGAUAUCUAUUAGACUGAAGAGGUCCGUUUCAUUGUUCUUUCAAAGGAAUUCUCUUGGGUUAACUAUGAGUGGUUCCUCUAUUUCUUCAUUUGACUUAACACUUCUCUUACUCUGUGAGAGAAACAAUUAUCUGCUGUGGUUUUGGAAGGCUAUUUUUAUGUGAGAGUGUCCCUGUAUUUCCUACAUGGGUUUAAUGUUUUUGGUGCAAGGACUGUUUUCAGUAUGGAUGCAUGCCACCUCUUUCCUUGGUAUGUGUCUGGCUGUUAUCGCCUUGAGAGGGGGUAUGUAGGUAAGGCAGCCAUGGAACCCAUGAGAGUGUUGGUGGCAGCACCUGUUGCUUGACUGCAGGGCCAGUGGAGGCAGUGCCCUGUUGGCUGAUUGCACAUUCAGAGAAAGACAUUGUUGUGGCAGCCUUGCCCUCCCCCUCCUUGCAGACUCCAACAGUGGCAUCUCACCUCCAUGGCAGCUCCAGGCCCUGUCCAUGUAUACCCUUGGUUGUGGGUGCACCACACUCCAGUCCCUUCAGGCUGUCUCCAUGCAGCUAACUCUCGUCCUGUCCCCAUCUGACCUCCUAAGCCUGAGCUUUAGCACCCAGCCCCCUCCUGCACUGGGGGAUGCAUGUCCAUUUGGGGAGUACAGUGUGGCAGCACGGACUGUCUGUGCAGGUUUGUUCUGCAAACCAUUUGUUGCACUAUCCUCCAAGGCUUUGAGGCUCACCCUCCAUCUUAAAUGGUCUUUCUGCCUCUGAGGGGGCUGCCCAGGGUGGGGGAGCCUUUCCUCUUUCAUAGCUCCCUCCCAGGGGUGCAGAUCCCAUCUAGAUUCCUUUCUCUCUUUUUCUUUUCUUUUGCCCUGUCUGGUUAUGAGGAAAUUCUUGUCCUUUCAGAAGACAAGGUCUUCUGCCAGUGUUCAGUAGGUAUUCUUUAAGAAUCGUUCCACAUAUAGAUGUAUUUUUUUUUUUUAGGUUGCUCCCACGGCAUGUAGAGUUUCACAAGCUGGGGCUCAAAUCUGAGCCACAGCAGCAACCUGAGCCACUGCAGUGAUCAUGACAGAUUCUCUAUGACAAGGGAACUCCUAUAGAUGCAUAUUUUGAAGUUUUUGUGGGAGGAGGUGAGCUUUAUGACCUCCUACUCCACUAUCUUGAUAGCCCCCUCAUGUUAAUUUUUUUUUUUUUUUUAAGGGCUGCACUUGUGGCAUGUGGAGGUUCCCAGGCUAGGGGUCUAAUCAGAGCUGUUGCUGCCGGCCUACACCAGAGCCACAGCAUCGCCAGGUCCAAGCUGCAUCUGCAGCCUACACCACAGCUCACGGCAAUGCCAGAUCCUUAACCCACUGGGCGAGGCCAGGGAUCAGACCCACAACUUCAUGGUUCCUGGUCGGAUUCAUUUCCACUGUGCCACAGUGGGAACUCCCUCAAAAUAAUUUUUAAAUUUUAACAUUUAACUUUGUUCUAUUCAGUUUUUUUGUUUUUUUGGAUUUUUUUGCUUUUUAGGGCCAUACCUGGGGCAAAUGGAGGUUCCGAGGGUAGGGGUUGAAUCGGAACUACAGCUGCUGGCCUACACUACAGCCAUAGCCAUGCCAGAUAUGAGCCACAUUUGAGUCUGUGACCUACACCACAGCUUACAGCACUGCCAGAUUCUUAGCCCACUGAGCAAGGCCAGGGAAUGAACCUGCAACCUCGUGGUUCCUAGUCACAUUCAUUUCUACUGCACCAGGACAGGAACUCCUGUUCUAUGCAGAUUUUUUUUUUUCUGGUCUUCUUUUUUUUUUCUUUUAGGGCCACAUCUGCAGUAUAUGGAGGUUCCCAGGCUAGGGGUCCAAUUGGAGCUACAGCUGCUGGCCUACACCACAGCCAUGGCCACACCAAAUCUGAGCUGCAUCUGUGACCUACACUGCAGCUCAUGGCAAUGCUGGAUCCUUAACCCACUGAACGAGGCCAGGGAUCGAACUCACAACCUCAUGGUUCCUAGUCGGAUUCGUUAACCACUGCGCCACGACGGGAACUCCCAGGUUUUAAUGUAAUAUUUUCUUUGGGUCUGAAGUUCAUAUGGAAGAAUAAAUAUUUUAGAAUAGUAGCAUUUUGAAAAGGAAGAAAAGAGGUAAGAAAACCUGAUGUUCAAUAGUAUUAAGAAGAUAUGAGAAUUAAAACCAUGUGGUAAUGGUGCCAAAAGAAAUAGGUCGAUCAAAUAUAAAAUUCCUAGUUGCACUUAUAUGUAUAAUUAAGAAUUAAAUGUGAGACAAGCAAGGAAUACUACGUAAAAAGUCAAUGACAUCAUAAUACCCUAAGAAAAUAAAGAUAAUAUAUAACUUGGAUGGUGAAACUUUUAAAACAUGACACUAAGGACAGAAAUCAUGAAAAAUAUUGAUGAAAAAAGUAAAAAUCAAUACAUAUUGUAAGUCAACUAUAAUAAAAUUUUUUCAAUAAAAUAAAUUUUUAAAAAAUUAAAAAACCUUCAAUAAAUAAAAUUUCAUAAGUUAAAUUUCAAAAGACAAAUUAGGAAAAAUAUGUAGUGACACACUGUAUAUAUGAGUAUUCUUAUAGAUAAAAAAACACCUUAAGCGAAAAUAGGUCAGAAUAUGAAUAGAUAAUUCACAAUACAAAAGAAAGCCUUUGGCCAAUAAACUCGUGGAAAAAAGGCCUCAUUAAUUUCUACAUGUAUGCAAAUACAUUUAUUAAAUAUUUAUAAGCCACUGUUCUGGAAUACCUAAUGAUGGGGUAAAAAGCAUGGCUUCUCUGACAUUGAAACGUACAUAAGUUCUCUGUAUUACGAGAAAUGUGGAAAUAAAAUUAAGUCAGA